CGUCCUCCCUCUACGACCUCACCAACGUGGACACCACCACAGACAACUCAGUGCUGGAAAUCACUGUCUACAACACCAACAUCGACAACCGGCAUGAGAUGCUGACCCUGGAGCCCCUGCACACGCUGCUGCAUAUGAAGUGGAAGAAGUUUGCCAAGUACAUGUUCUUUCUGUCCUUCUGCUUUUAUUUCUUCUACAACAUCACUCUGACCCUCGUCUCGUACUACCGCCCCCGGGAGGAGGAGGCCGUCCCGCACCCCUUGGCCCUGACGCAUAAGAUGGGGUGGCUGCAGCUCCUAGGGAGGAUGUUUGUGCUCAUUUGGGCCAUGUGCAUCUCUGUGAAAGAGGUAAGUGGGCCACCCGGCCCUUCCAGACCGCCGCACGAGGCAGGCAGGUGACGGCCUCCAUCCCUCUCUGCUGUGCCAUUACUGCUGGGGGGCCUGGGGAGGCGUUUCCUUCCCAAGCCUUACUUUUCUGAGUUAUAACAUGGGAAAAAAUGGAUAAGGUUGGCCUAUCCUACCUACUUCAUCCAUCUACUUCUCUAUCCAUCUGCCCAACUAUCCGCCAUUUAUCUACCUUCCCAGUCACUCUGUGUCCCUCGUCCUCUUCCAUCCCCAUCCACCCAUCCGAUCACCUGCCCUCUUUCAUGGACUCAGCCACUCAUUCAUCCAUUU
rnacentral:sRNA from 1 species